rnacentral:pre_miRNA from 10 species
AUGGUGUUAUCAAGUGUAACAGCAACUCCAUGUGGACUGUGUAUCAAUUUCCAGUGGAGAUGCUGUUACUUUUGAUGGUUACCAA